UACGUAGGGUGCGAGCGUUAAUCGGAAUUACUGGGCGUAAAGCGUGCGCAGGCGGUUUUGUAAGCCGGAUGUGAAAUCCCCGGGCUUAACCUGGGACCUGCAUUCGAAACUGUCUUGCUAGAGUAUGGGAGAGGGAAGUGGAAUUUCAGGUGUAGCGGUGAAAUGCGUAGAUAUCUGAAGGAACAUCAGUGGCGAAAGCGACUUCCUGGACCAAUACUGACGCUCAGGUGCGAAAAGCGUGGGGAGCAACAGG
rnacentral:rRNA from 1 species